rfam:Oryza sativa Japonica Group DNA, chromosome 12, cultivar: Nipponbare, complete sequence.
AAUAAGCGUUGUUGUAGGUUUAAUUGUCUAACUUUAAUUAUCCGUCUUAUUUAAAAUAUUUUUAUUGUUAUUAGAUGAUAAAAUAUAAAUAGUACUUUAUGAGUGACUUAACUUUUCAAUUUUUUUCAUAAUUUUUUUAAAUAAUAUGGACGGUUACACGUUGGGCAUGGAAACUUGCUUCACUUAUA